rnacentral:rRNA from 1 species
UGGGGAAUAUUGCACAAUGGGCGCAAGCCUGAUGCAGCCAUGCCGCGUGUGUGAAGAAGGCCUUCGGGUUGUAAAGCACUUUCAGCGAGGAGGAGGGUGGUGAACUUAAUACGUUCAUCAAUUGACGUUACUCGCAGAAGAAGCACCGGCUAACUCCGUGCCAGCAGCCGCGGUAAUACGGAGGGUGCAAGCGUUAAUCGGAAUUACUGGGCGUAAAGCGCACGCAGGCGGUUUGUUAAGUCAGAUGUGAAAUCCCCGGGCUCAACCUGGGAACUGCAUUUGAAACUGGCAAGCUAGAGUCUCGUAGAGGGGGGUAGAAUUCCAGGUGUAGCGGUGAAAUGCGUAGAGAUCUGGAGGAAUACCGGUGGCGAAGGCGGCCCCCUGGACGAAGACUGACGCUCAGGUGCGAAAGCGUGGGGAGCAAACAGGAUUAGAUACCCCUGGUAGUCCACGCUGUAAAACGAUGUCGAUUUGGAGGUUGUGCCCUUGAGGCGUGGCUUCCGGAGCUAACGCGUUAAAUCGACCGCCU